GGAAGUUCAAAGCAUGAGGCUAUGUCUAAUGAGUGGUUGCAAACUGGGAAUUGUCCAAUGGCCAAGUCAUUCAGAGCAGUGAGCCAUGUGCUGCCACUUGUGGCAAAAGCCCUUCAGCCCCCUGCUGGUAUUAAUAUGAAGUGCCCCCCUGCAAUAGUUGCAGCAAGGGCUGCUAUAUCACGGACUGCCCUAGCCAAAAAUCUCAGGCCACAGCCUCUACCUGCAAAAAUACUUGCAAUUGGCGCCCUGGGCAUGGCUGCAAAUAUUCCUUUGGGUAUAUGGCGAGAACACACAGAAAAAUUCUCACUCUCUUGGUUUGUGGCAGUCCAUGCAGCUGUUCCAUUUAUAGGCAUGCUUAGGAAAUCGGUG
rnacentral:lncRNA from 1 species